GCUCAGUUGGCGGCGACGACAAUAGAAGGCUACAACAUGAAAGCUAUCGUGUUCGUGUUGGUGGUGCUGGCUGUGGUGUGCGCGGCCUUGGCGAUGCCUGGCCCGAUGCCCUACCCGCGCCCUUUCCCUAUU